GAUUACAAAGUCAUUGCUGAAUAAAAAACAAAACAUAUUUAAUUAAAUUUAUUUUUAGAAUUUAAAGUAAAUUAAAUGAUAAAAACAAGCACCAACCCUGUUAACUACUUUUACAUACGCAGGAAUAACCUAUACGUAAAAUGAAAAUUCCGCUCUUGGUCACAUUCAAAAUAAUUUACAAUCGCAAACACCUUUUUUGCUAUUUCGCUUUGAAAAGUAUAUUAUUCUUGUUUGUCCGAAACUUAAAAGCUCUCUCAGUAAACAUCUUUUAAAGCACAGUCCAUCUCAUUUAAGUACUUAAACGCUUGUUUAGCAGAUGCAAAAAAUUUGAUAUUAUUGUUGACAUUACUUUAAAAUUUUGAACAUUUUAACACCGGCGCACGUAAAAAUAAAAAAAAGUAUCUAAAAAGGUAUAUGAAAAUAAAAUGGGUAUGCCUUAUGCAGAUUACAGAACGGAAUUAUCUGCUGAAAUAGGAAAAUAAAAUAAAAUUAUAUUAUAAAAAUUUUGACGUCAUAUAAUAAAGAGUGCCCAAAUGUGUUAAAAAUUAAGCAGAAUUGAAUAAUUGUUAAGGACGGUGCUUUAACCAACUUUUGAACCAAAAUUUGGUAAACAAUUCAAAAUUUAAUUGUGAAAUUUAAAAUAAUUUGUGCGAAAAAAAAUUUCAGUGCUUUGUGCAUACAUAUUUAAAAGAACAACGUCAUAGUUGAAAUUAAAAAGAAAAUUCGUACAUAUAAAUUGAAACGUGGCAUAAAAAACCCUCUCACACAUUCAGUAAUAUAAAGGAAAUACUGAAUUGGAAUAUUCUCAACUAAAUACAGUACCAGAAAUGAUAACACAAACAUCACAAACAUCACAAGGAAUUAUAGUUAACAAUGUUCCACAUAUGGGGCACACUAGAACUCCAAGUCAAGCAUCAACAUAUUCCCAAACAUCAACAUAUUCCGUUCCUCCACAAAAUAUUAAUGUUGGACAAGCUGUUGGUAUGAAUUAUAGUUAUAUGGAACCCAGAUAUAAUCAAUUUAGUGGACCUGCAACGCAUGCAAUAUCACCACAAAGUCAUGUGUAUACACCACUUAACAAUGUACAUGUACCACAAACUAACUAUAUUUCUCAUUCUGUUAUGCCACCACAAAAUCAUACCACAGUAUCUGGAUCUGCAGUUUAUGUUUUUCGUGAACAACCAAAUCAAUCAUAUGUAACAUACACUCAACCAGGACAAUAUCCAACACUUCCAAGAAAUUUUUCAUGGUCACAAGGCCAACCAAAUGAAAUGAUAUCUACUGAAAUUGAAAAUAGAUCAGUUCAAAUUGAAAAUAAUUCCACUAAUAAUUUACUUCAACACCCACAACAAGAGCAACAACAAGAAGUGUCUCAAGUUGAUGAGACUAAAGACGGAAAUAAUCAAAAUAUAAAGCCUCCACAAGUUAAAUUUGGCCCGAGACCUGUAAAGAUGGUAUGUUCGAACUGCGGGAAUCACGGAUUUACUAAAAUUGUAUAUGGAAUUAAUACCUAUACACACAUAAUGGCUUUUAUUUUAUUCUUACUAGGAUGCCUUUGUUGUAGUAUGGCACCAUAUUAUUUAAGGUCAUGUAAGGAUGCCAACCAUUAUUGCAAAAGUUGUAACUUUUUUCUUGGAACUUAUAAUAACUUAACAAAUACUCGCUGAUAGCAUUUUUUAAAGCUCUUAGUUAAAAUUUCAAAACUAUAUAACGCACAUAUUUUGAGUAGCAAGUCAUAAUGUUAGAAACAUCCUUCAGUUAAAAAUUUGUAUGAAAGAGUAUGAAGAAGUUUGAUAUGACAAAUACAGGAUGUAAGAUUGUAAUUAAAGAAAAUAAAUUUUUUGAUAUAAAAAUUAAAACUAAAAAUAUUUUAUUUUAAACAAAAAUUUUAAACAUCUGUUGCACUCCAAUUGUCAACGCCCAAAAUGCGGACAGACCAAUUUUAACUAAUGACGAAAUAACAAGAAAUUUUACAUAUAAUUAGGUAUGUACAAAAAACAAGUUUGUAAAAUUCAAGUUUUUGAUGAUUGACUAAAAAUGAACCUAAUUCAAUUGUUCUCCACGAAUGGAGCUAUGUCCGAACUGUAAUGAAAUUACAAAAACUGUAGUCCGUUUAGAAAAUAAUUUUCAUACUCACGCUGGCGCAUUAAUUAUGUAUUUACUUGG